rnacentral:rRNA from 1 species
GGAGUCUGGACCGUGUCUCAGUUCCAAUGUGACCGUUCAUCCUCUCAGACCGGUUACCGAUCGUCGGCUUUGUAAGCUCUUACCUUACCAACUACCUAAUCGGACGCAGGCUCCUCGCAAAGCGAUAAAUCUUUAGUAAGUUACUCAUGCGAAUUACUUACAACAUUCGGUAUUAGCAGUCCUUUCGAACUGUUGUCCCCAUCUUUGCGGCAGAUUACCUACGCGUUACUCACCCGUGCGCCGGUCGCCAUCAACAAAAGCAAGCUUUCGUCAUGAUGCCCCUCGACUUGCAUGUGUUAAGCCUGUAGCUAGCGUUCAUC